GAUCAACAGAGAUGCAGGAGCUUGUGAUUGCUAUGAACAAAUGAUAAAAAGUUAUCCCUGUACUAUAUUAUCUAAAAGUGAGGAGAAAUGAAUUUUGGUUCAUAUAUACCAAAGUAAACAAAAUGAAAUUAAAGUAAAGCAAUAAGGAAAAGGAUUGCAGCAGGAUUUUAUUGGCUAGAUUUUGGACCAGGGUUUCCCCAAAGACAGCGUUCCAGCCCUGCAGUUCAAAUGACCCUUUCCUUGGCUUUAUCCCAGGCUUCAGCCAACACUUCUCCCAGCAUCAGAUGAGACUUAGCCCAGAGACUGCAAAGAACCUAAACACUUGAAUCAAAUUCAAUGUAUCAUGAACCAGGUGCUCAUCAGAGAACCAUUACUGAAUUUGAAAAAGUGUAUUUCCAACAGCUUUGAGCAGCAAUAGUCUACAUCUCAUCCUAUUACACUAAAUUUUGAUUAAAUGCCAAAAAGUGC
rnacentral:lncRNA from 1 species